UACGAAGGGGGCUAGCGUUGCUCGGAAUUACUGGGCGUAAAGGGCGCGUAGGCGGAUGUUUAAGUCAGAGGUGAAAGCCCAGGGCUCAACCUUGGAAUUGCCUUUGAUACUGGACAUCUUGAGUACGGGAGAGGUGAGUGGAACUCCGAGUGUAGAGGUGAAAUUCGUAGAUAUUCGGAAGAACACCAGUGGCGAAGGCGACACACUGGCCCGUUACUGACGCUGAUGCGCGAAAGCGUGGGGAGCAAACAGG
rnacentral:misc_RNA from 1 species